rnacentral:lncRNA from 1 species
CUUAAUAUACUAUUUUUAUUGUUAAAUUUAAUAGCGUGUUACAAUAAUAAAUACGAUUUCUCUAGAAAUCCAGCACCAGAGUCAAGUCCGCUCCCAUCGGGCUCAUUAUUGUUAGCAGACUGGAUCACUAGGCUUUUUUUGGGCCUAGACAAUCUAAUUCAAAUAAAAAACAAUGUACGUAAACCUAGUACUAUAAUAUUUCACCAUAUACCACCACUUUUGGAAAGUAUGCGAGUGACCGAGAGAACCGGCGGCGAUUCGCAAGCUUGGUCGGCCGGCGAUAAGGAAAUCGGGUUCGGUCCUAGAUCCGAACCCUACAAAACAGGAAUUCUCCAGACAGAGAUAUUCCUGUGGCGUGCACUUAGCUCUUUAACUGGUGAUUGCUUAAACUCCAAUUAGAUCAAAUGAAUAAAAAAUUAGAAAAAAAAAAAUCAGCACAUAACAUCGAUCCGUUUGGUAGCCGAGAAAAUGCAAGAAAAGAAAAUAAAUAAAUUAACAAAGAAAUAUCAUCGAUGUUUCUAGGUGAAAAUAUCUAGUUUAGUCGGCCAAAUUCAACUACAAAACUUAUUUAUAUAUCCUAUUUCAGAUACAUAAAAACGUAAACAGUUUCAAUAUAGUAUUAACAGUUUCUUGCUAUUGUGAUCUUUUUGACCUAAUCGAUAAACAAAAGUUGUAAUAUUAAUUCGUUUCUUUCAUCAAUCAUGGAGAAAACACUAAAAAUCAAAAUAUUCAAAUCUUAUAGAGAGAAUAAGAGGAUAUAAGAGUAUAAAAAUAAAUUUUCGUACCUGAAAUAAAGCGAGAAUUUUCUCACCAACCAAACAAGUAGCAAAAAACCUGGCUCAUGCGAUCAGACACCGUUGAAUCAAAGGUUUCAACACCGUAAACAGAGUGAAAGUAGGCACGUUGAGUGAGAGAGAGGGAGAAAGAGAGCGGAGUUUAGGUUUUGUUGCUUCUAGAAGGUUCUGGGUGGAGUAAAUCGUACGGGACGAAAGAGAAAUCGCGAGGGUGAGAAGGAAAGAGAUAUAAAAUAUUAAAUUUAAAAAAAAAUAGAGAAAAUGGCGAAGUACGUGGAAUGCACGCGCACAUACGUAAACAAAAGAAAAUGAUAAAAUUGAUAAAGGUAUU